rnacentral:rRNA from 1 species
AUUGAACGCUGGCGGCAUGCUUUUCACAUGCAAGUCGAACGGUAACAGGCCGCAAGGUGCUGACGAGUGGCGAACGGGUGAGUAAUGCAUCGGAACGUGCCCAGUCGUGGGGGAUAACGCAGCGAAAGCUGUGCUAAUACCGCAUACGAUCUAUGGAUGAAAGCGGGGGACCGUAAGGCCUCGCGCGAUUGGAGCGGCCGAUGUCAGAUUAGGUAGUUGGUGGGGUAAAGGCCCACCAAGCCAACGAUCUGUAGCUGGUCUGAGAGGACGACCAGCCACACUGGGCCUGAGACACGGCCCAGACUCCUACGGGAGGCAGCAGUGGGGAAUUUUGGACAAUGGGCGCAAGCCUGAUCCAGCAAUGCCGCGUGCAGGAAGAAGGCCUUCGGGUUGUAAACUGCUUUUGUACGGAACGAAACGGCUCUGGUUAAUACCCGGGGCUAAUGACGGUACCGUAAGAAUAAGCACCGGCUAACUACGUGCCAGCCGCCGCGGUAAUAC